AUGGCCUCGUCGUCGUCUCCGGCGAGUAGCCGCCCGCCUGGCCCGUUUGCUCUAGGGUUGGAGUCCUCCGCGAACAAGAUUGGCAUCGGCGUCGUCUCCAUCUCCGGGCAAAUCCUCUCCAACCCGCGCCAUACGUACAUCACCCCUCCAGGCCACGGUUUCCUGCCCCGGGAGACCGCGCAGCACCACCUCGUCCACCUACUCCCUCUACUCCGAGCAGCACUCGCCGAGGCUGAUGCCUCUCCUGCCGACCUCGCCUGCAUUUGCUACACCAUGGGCCCCGGCAUGGGCGGGCCUCUCCAGGUCGCCGCCGCAUCGGCCCGGGCUCUGUCGCUCGUAUGGGGGAAACCGCUUGUCGCCGUCAAUCACUGUGUCGCGCACAUUGAAAUGGGCCGCGCGGUCACCGGCGCCGUGGACCCCGUUGUGCUCUACGUCUCAGGUGGCAACACGCAGGUCAUCGCGUAUAGCGAAGGGAGGUACAGGAUCUUCGGUGAGACCAUUGAUAUUGCCGUGGGGAACUGCCUCGACCGCUUUGCGAGGAUCCUCAAGCUCUCGAAUGACCCCAGCCCUGGGUAUAACAUCGAGCAGCUUGCAAAGAAGGGAGAGAAGUUCAUCGACCUCCCUUAUGUUGUAAAGGGUAUGGAUGUGUCAUUUAGUGGCAUAUUGAGCUUCAUCGAAGCUGCAGCGAUUGAAAAACUUGAAAAUAACGAGUGCACACCAGCAGACCUGUGCUACUCAUUGCAGGAAACACUCUUUGCUAUGCUUGUUGAAAUCACUGAACGUGCCAUGGCACAUUGUGAUUCGAAGGAUGUUCUUAUUGUUGGUGGUGUUGGAUGCAAUGAACGUUUGCAAGAGAUGAUGAGGAUUAUGUGCUCAGAGAGAGGGGGUAGGCUGUUUGCAACUGAUGAUCGAUAUUGUAUAGACAAUGGUGCGAUGAUUGCAUACACUGGUUUACUGGCAUAUGCACAUGGUGUGACCACACCCCUGGAGGACUCGACAUUUACUCAAAGGUUCCGAACUGAUGAAGUUCAUGCAAUUUGGAGGGAGAAGGAGGUUCCGGUAUUAAAUAACACAGAUUCUGAUGCAGCGGUUGAAGUAUCCAUAGAUGGAACCUCUGGGCCAACUCCAAUUGCUGUAGAUUCCUGA
rnacentral:rRNA from 1 species